UACGUAGGGUGCAAGCGUUGUCCGGAAUUAUUGGGCGUAAAGAGCUCGUAGGCGGUCUGUCGCGUCGGAUGUGAAAAUCCAGGGCUCAACCCUGGACCUGCAUUCGAUACGGGCAGACUAGAGUUCGGUAGGGGAGACUGGAAUUCCUGGUGUAGCGGUGAAAUGCGCAGAUAUCAGGAGGAACACCGGUGGCGAAGGCGGGUCUCUGGGCCGAAACUGGCGCUGAGGAGCGAAAGCAUGGGGAGCGAACAGG
rnacentral:rRNA from 1 species